rnacentral:rRNA from 1 species
CACGUAGGAGACGAGCGUUAUCCGGAUUUACUGGGCGUAAAGCGCGUGCAGGCGGUUCAGCAAGUUGGAUGUGAAAGCUCCCGGCUUAACUGGGAGAGGUCGUUCAAAACUACUGGACUAGAGAGUGGUAGAGGGAGGUGGAAUUCCGGGUGUAGUGGUGAAAUGCGUAGAUAUCCGGAGGAACACCAGUGGCGAAAGCGGCCUCCUGGACCAUUUCUGACGCUCAGACGCGAAAGCUAGGGUAGCAAACGGG